GUGUCACCUGGUAGAAGGUGCCACCACAUCUCUCCUAUCCAGAAGGAGUUGGAGCCACGUGGGCUCCAGACAUAAAUGGUACUACUGAGGCUGCAGCUCCCCUUCUCCUCCCCUGCUGCUGCCUUGCAAUUUCUGGCCAGAGACUCUCGCUGUGCAAAUGUGCCAAAACUCCUCGAUAAGGGAGCAAGAGCUAUGCAGCCUGCAUGAGUCAGCCUCCCCAACACACAGAGGUGGAACUGGGAGGAAAGGGUCCGAGUCAGACUGACCCAGGACUAGCACAGAACUCCAGGAAUUACAGCAGAUAUCCACCAUUUGACUUCCUGUAAGUCUCAUAAGGUUGCCACUCAAAAGACGUCACUUGCUCUCCAGUGAAAGAGCUGUACACACCACCUGAGCAAGGCCAGCGAGACCAACUCUCCCAAGAAGAUGAACUAUCCAUGAACCCAGAUGGUCCUUUGUGACUUUCUCGACUAACAGAGCACAGGAGAAGUGACAUGAUAUGACUUCUGAGGCUAGCUUAUACAAAUGUCAUGGAUUUCUACCUCGUGCUUUGAGGAUACUCGCCUUGCAACCCAGUCACCGUGCUGUAAAGAAGCCCAAACAGCUACUUGGAGAGACAUCGGGUACCACAGAGCCUCACCCAAGAUCUCAGCUGACAGCCAGCAUCAACCGCCAGACAUAUGAGUGCACAAGCUUUCAAAUGAUUCCAGCCUCCACCCGUCAAGUCACCCUCAGGCUUUGAGCCCUUUCCAGCUGAGGUUCCAGACAUCCUGGAACAGAGACAAGGCAUCCCCACUGAGCCCUUCCCGAUUUCUGAUACACAGAAUCCAUAAACACAAUAAGAUGGUUGUUAUUUAUACCGCUGUGUUUAGGCUGGUUUGUUACUCAACAGUAGUAACUGGAAUGGGUCAUCACUGGAGAAGAGAAUGAGGAAUGAGACCUGGAGGAGUCCUAAUAUAUUAAGAUUUGCCAAGUACCACCACCCUCGCUUCUGUAUCUCACAGUGUCAAAGAGCUCUUACCACAGCGUAUCACCAAGCCUUUACCUGGGAAUUGUGUGUAUCCAUCUCCAGCCAGUGGCAGGGCUGGGAAUACCAUUUGGCAAUGUGUUGCUGUGAAGGAAACAAAGUGAUCAAAUAAAGAAUGACUGAGGGGAGGGGUGGAAAGUGACCUGUGUUAGAAAUCACAACAGAAAACGCCUCUAGGAUGAGGUGGCAUUAAAGCUGAAACAAGAGGAUGAGAAGAAGCAAACCAGAAAAAGAGGAAGAAUAACAACAAUGCAAGAAGCAACUCCCUACCCAAAAGCCCACAGUGGGAAACCUUAUAGCAUACCUGGCUGAACGGUUGAAUACCAGUGUGGAGGAGGUAGACAUAACAUACAGCUGGGCAGAUCUUGAUAGGGACCAGAAUCCACAAGCCUAAGAGAUUUGAUUUUAUUUUAGAUGCAAGUGAAAGCUCUUAAAUGGUUUUGAAAAGAUAGCUGAAAUGAUCAGAUUCAUGUGGGAUACCAGGCUGUUUGAGUAGAACAAGGGAGAAAGAACAGUGGCGUACACUAAGAUGGCAAUGAGUAUGGAGAAAUAUAUAUAAAAUAUAUAUGUGUAUGUACAUACGUCUAUAUACACGCACACUUUGAGACAGAUUCCAGAAAACGUAAUGAUACAGUCUGGGCAGAAAGUGAGGAAAAGUAGGGAAUCAAGGAUCAUUCCUAGGUUUUGUUUUAAGUUAGCAUGUGAACAGUUAGAAUGGAACAGUUUGGAAGGUGGAAUAAUUGAAGUUUUCAUUUAGACAUCUUAAUUGUGGAGACGUCAACCAGUGUUUCUCAAACUUCCCCAAUGAACAGAAUCAUCUGGGGAGCUUAUUACAUAUAUGGAUUAUCAGGUUUUCUGCUGGAAAUUCUGGAUCGGUAGGUCCGAGUUGAGCACAAAGUACUGGAUUUUCUUCACUCUCGGUGGGUAAUAUGCAGCUACCAAAAGAAAGAGAAUGAGGAAGAUCUCUAUCAACUGAUAUAGAGCAAUUUCCAAGAUAUGUUAAAGGCAAAAUUCAAAAGAGUAUCUGUGGUAUGCUAUUUUUCAUGUAGGAAGAAGGGACUAUAAGAAAAUACACACGUAUCUGUGCAAAAAAGAAAUGCAGGAAGGAUAAACCAGAAACCAGUGCAACUGAUUAUCUACAGGAAGCAGAUGGGAACUGGGAGGAAAGGAAGGAAGGACGGGAAUGGCGUAGAAGGGACGAGAAAGAGAUGAUACCUAAGUAUACCUUUCUGUAUACUUUUGAUUAAAACUGAACAGUUUUCACAUACCCAAGUAAAUAAUUAAAAUCAAGAAGCAUUUGGAAGGAUCCCCAAAUGGAACACAAACAGUAACAGGUGAACCUAACUUUACUACAAACACAUUAACAAAAUCACACUGGAGGAAGUGGGGAAGAACUAACCUCAGUAACUUUAGAAAAUAGUAUUUUAAUAUAGUGCAAAUAACCAUACACUUAAUAUAUACUACUAAUAAUAUUUAAUAAUAUUAAUAAUACAUUUAUAACUAAUCAUAAUAAUAAGGCUAAAGACAGAAAGAAUUGUACACAGAUAUUGAACUUGUUAGUAAAUUUAUUUUUCACAGGGGCAGAAGUUAACGAUUUUUAAAUAUUUUAUGUGUAUUCUAGAACUGAGCAAAUACAUAAAUGGAUUGUAGAUAAUGAGAAUCAGGUUUCUAAUUGUUAAAGAAAGGAGUUACAAGUAAGUAUAAGGUAAAGGAGGCUAGAAUAAACCCUAUGGUGUUGGAUUGGAAUCAAGGUAUCAGUUUGAACUCAUUCUCAAUUUGAACUCGUGUGUGUGUGUGUGUGUGUGUGUGUGCGUGUGCGCGCGCGCGCUCAUGCGAACACACCCGGAUGGAUACAUAUAAAAAUAGAAGGAGAUAUUUGUACGUGUGGAUGUAUUCAGAUAUAUUUUCUUAGCUCUGUCUGUUGAAAGGGCAAUGGGGAAGCCUGGGUAGCAAUAAGUACACCUCAUACCAAGAUGCUGGUUUGUAAAUACCAUUAUUUAAGGCAAGGAAUAACAACUCCAUGGAGAAAUGACUGAUCCAAGGCUAGGACAGGGGAAAGUAAAAGAUGGGUCUGGAGCAUUUUUUGUGGUGCCAGAAAGUAAGCUACUACUCAAAAAAUUAUAUGGCUAUGUAGCAAAAACAAGAAAGACAGCUUGAAGGAGUACCAAUCACCAAAUCUGGAACAAUUUGAGAGACAAAAUAAUUAAUGCUAGUAAUGGCUUUUAACCCAUAGAAUAAAAUAAAUAUCCACAAGUUUAUACUGAUAUAUGUAAAUAAAUAACUGAAUAAACACAUAAACGAAGGAGAAGGAACAGCUCUUCGUUACAAUCAGAUCAUAGUUAAUAAAUGUAGAAGGAAUCAUGGAAAUAGAUGAUGAUCAUUUACAGUAAUUAUUGGAGUCAGGAAUUAUUAAUGGAUACUAAAAUUGGUGUGGGGAAAAGAAACAAGAGCAGAAUAUUUGAGCAAUCUCAAAUAAUUACAAGGGGAAAAAUAGUAACUUUGCAGUUAUCAUUAUAACCAAGUCAAGUUAGCAUCACCAGUAAUGAAACAUGGAUUUCUUGUAUCUCCUAAUACAGUACACUGAAAAGGGCAUAACAUCACUUCUGUGGUAUUCUUGUGAAGAAACACAUAACCUCAGUCUAGCCAUAAGAAAACACCAUGGAAACUCAAAUUGAGCAACAUUCUGCAAAAUAAUGGGCUAGGAAUCUUCAAUAGUUCAAGGUCAUGAAAGAAAAGAAAGACUGAGGAACUAUUCUAGAAAAGAAUGAGGAGAUUUGGCAAAUAAAUGCAAUAAAGGAUCCUGGAUUUGAACCUGGACCAGGGGAUCAUAGGAAAUAUUUUCACAUGAGUCUGUUAAUUAGUUAACAGUAUUGUGUCAAUGUAAACCUUCUGGUUUCAAAAUUAUACUGUGGCAAUAUAAUCUGUUAACAUUUGGGAAAGCUGGGUAAAGUGUAUAUGCGAACUCAUGCU
ensembl:lncRNA